rnacentral:ncRNA from 1 species
ACAAUUGCAAUGAUUGGGAGGAGUAAGCAUUUUUACUUGUCGAGAGAGGAAACGGUUGGUGAAAGUUUCUCAAGUAGAUGUCUGAAGGUAGCCCAUGAGCAAAUUUCGUGAACAGAUUUUAGUAGCGAAAUUCGGUUUAGAGACCGUUAUCCAAUGAAGUGCCAGUCAACUGUGCUGGAAUAAAGGUGGUACCGCGAAUUCUUUCGUCCUUUUU